rnacentral:misc_RNA from 1 species
GGGAGUCUCAUCUAAUAUGUGGAGAGAUUGUUGGAUAAUCCGUGCACCUAGUGCUGAUGGAUGCUCGGGGAGAUAUGUUGUGGCUGCAUCUGCUGGGAAUACUCUUGAUUCGGGAUUUUGUUCAUGGGAUUUCUAUACCAAAGAUGUGCGAGCUUCUCACAUAGAGGAUGGAGAAACAACCACUUCAAGAACAAUACUAGGUCCCAUUCCCU